rnacentral:rRNA from 1 species
GAAGACAGAAGAGGACAAGUGAACUCCCAGGUGAACGGUGAAAUGCGUUGAUUAUAGGAAAAACACCGAGGGCGGAGGGGGACUGUUAGGUUUUGUAACUGACGAGUGAGGCUUGGAAAGCAUAGGUAGCGGACCAGGAUUAGAUACCCUGGUAGUUCCAUGCCGUAAACGAUGAAUGCUAGGUGUUGGAGGGUUUCCACCCUUUCAGGGCCGCAGCUAACGCAUUAAGCAUUCCGCCUGGGGAAGUACGACCGCAAGGUUGAAACUCAAAGGAAUUGACGGGGGCCCGCACAAGCGGUAGAGCAUGUGGUUUAAUUCGAAACAAACGCGAAGAACCUUACCAGGUCUUGACAUCUUUUGAUCACCUGAGAGAUCAGGUUUCCCCUUCGGGGGCAAAAUGACAGGUGGUGCAUGGUUGUCGUCAGCUCGUGUCGUGAGAUGUUGGGUUAAGUCCCGCAACGAGCGCAACCCUUAUGACUAGUUGCCAGCAUUUAGUUGGGCACUCUAGUAAGACUGCCGGUGACAAACCGGAGGAAGGUGGGGAUGACGUCAAAUCAUCAUGCCCCUUAUGACCUGGGCUACACACGUGCUACAAUGGAUGGUACAACGAGUUGCGAGACCGCGAGGUCAAGCUAAUCUCUUAAAGCCAUUCUCAGUUCGGACUGUAGGCUGCAACUCGCCUACACGAAGUCGGAAUCGCUAGUAAUCGCGGAUCAGCACGCCGCGGUGAAUACGUUCCCGGGCCUUGUACACACCGCCCGUCACACCAUGAGAGUUUGUAACACCCGAAGCCGGUGGCGUAACCCUUUUAGGGAGCGAUUUUUCUAAGGUGGGACAAAUGAUUAGGGUGAAGUCGUAACGAUACCCUAGGAGAACCUGCGGCUGGAUCACCUCCAUUCUGAAUCGGAUCCCGGGC